rnacentral:tRNA from 1 species
GCCUGGGUGGCUCAGUCGGUUGAGCGGCCGACUUCGGCUCGGGUCACGAUCUCGCAGUCUGUGAGUUCGAGCCCCGCGUCAGGCU